UAAACGAGUCGAAUGAGACGAAGUGUGUGAGGCUUGUGGCGAGAAAAGCUAUGUGGAUUGGUUGUACUGCCCGUACCGCAAACCGACACAGGUAGAUGAGGAGAAGAUCCUAAGGCCAUCGGGAGAAGGGUUGUUAAGGAACUAGGCAAAUUGACCCCGUAACUUCGGAAUAAGGGGUGCCUACGAAAGUAGGUCGCAGAGAAUCGGCCCAAGCAACUGUUUACCAAAAACACAGGUCUCUGCUAAAUCGAAAGAUGACGUAUAGGGGCUGACGCCUGCCCGGUGCUGGAAGGUUAAGAGGAGGACUUAGCGGAAACGCGAAGGUGCGAAUUUAAGCCCCAGUAAACGGCGGCCGUAACGAUAACGGUCCUAAGGUAGCGAAAUUCCUUGUCAGGUAAGUUCUGACCCGCACGAAAGGCGUAAUGAUUUGGGCACUGUCUCAACAGCCCGCCCGGCGAAAUUGUAGUACCGGUGAAGAUGCCGGUUACCCGCAACUAGACGGAAAGACCCCAUGGAGCUUUACUGCAGCUUAAUACUGAGAUUCGGUAAAUCAUGUACAGGAUAGGUGGGAGACUUGGAAGUCUGGUCGUCAGGCCAGAUGGAGUCGCCCUUUGAUACCACCCUUGGUUUGCUGGAUUUCUAACCUGCGGCCCUGAAUCGGGUCGGGGGACACUGUUAGGCGGGCAGUUUGACUGGGGCGGUCGCCUCCUAAAAUGUAACGGAGGCGCUCAAAGGUUGGCUCAGCAUGGAUGGAAACCAUGCAAUGAGUGUAAACGUAUAAGCCAGCCUGACUGCGAGACCGACGGGUCGAGCAGAGACGAAAGUCGGAGUUAGUGAUCCGGUGGUAUGUGAGUGGAAAUGCCAUCGCUCAACGGAUAAAAGCUACCCUGGGGAUAACAGGCUGAUCUCCCCCAAGCGUCCACAGCGACGGGGAGGUUUGGCACCUCGAUGUCGGCUCGUCGCAUCCUGGGGCUGAAUUAGGUCCCAAGGGUUUGGCUUUCGCCAAUUAAAGCGGCACGCGAGCUGGGUUCAGAACGUCGUGAGACAGUUCGGUCCCUAUCUGUUGCGGGCGUAGGAGAUUUGAAGGAGCUGUCCUUAGUACGAGAGGACCGGGAUGGACGCACCUCUGGUGUACCAGUUGUUCUGCCAAGGGCACGGCUGGGUAGCUACGUGCGGACGAGAUAAACGCUGAAGGCAUCUAAGCGUGAAACUCCCCCUAAGAUAAGAUCUCCACUGAGGCUCGACGUAGACUAUGUCGUUGAUAGGUCAGAGGUGUAAGUGCUGAGAGGCAUUGAGCUGACUGAUACUAAUAAGCCGAAAGCUUGUCAA
rnacentral:rRNA from 1 species